GGUUCGGGAGCGGCCCGUCGGGAAGGGCCGCAUGAAUGGAACCUCCCCCCUGAUCGCAAUCGGCACGCGCCUGAGCCCCGACAGGCCGCGCG
rfam:Rhodobacterales bacterium 65-51 scnpilot_p_inoc_scaffold_1355, whole genome shotgun sequence.